GAGUGGCGAACUGGUGAGAUAACACGGUGGGUAACCUGCCCCGAAGCGGGGGAUAACAUUUGGAAACAAGUGCUAAUACCGCAUAAUUAGUUGGAACCGCAUGGUUCCAACUUGAAAGAUGGCUCUGCUAUCACUUUGGGAUGGACCCGCGCCGUAUUAGUUAGUUGGUGAGAUAAAAGCCCACCAAGACGAUGAUACGUAGCCNACCUGAGAGGGUAAUCGGCCACAUUGGGACUGAGACACGGCCCAGACUCCUACGGGAGGCAGCAGUAGGGAAUCUUCCACAAUGGACGAAAGUCUGAUGGAGCAACGCCNCGUGAGUGAUGAAGGUUUUCGGAUCGUAAAACUCUGUUGUUAAAGAAGAACAAGUGUUAGAGUAACUGUUAACACUUUGACGGUAUUUAACCAGAAAGCCACGGCUAACUACGUGCCAGCAGCCGCGGUAAUACNUAGGUGGCAAGCGUUGUCCGGAUUUAUUGGGCGUAAAGCGAGCGCAGGCGGUUUUGUAAGUCUGCUGUGAAAGCCCUCAGCUCAACUGAGGAAGUGCAGUGGAAACUACAAAACUUGAGUACAGAAGAGGAAAGUGGAACUCCAUGUGUAGCGGUGAAAUGCGUA
rnacentral:rRNA from 2 species